AACUAUUAUCGAUGUUUUUCAUAUCGAUAGUACCGACGGUAUUCUCAUCACUGGAUUUGUCAACAACAACAUAGCCGACAUAUGUACAUACAUAGGAAUAUCUUAGCACUGGUACAAAGGGAAAUACAUGUCCAUCGUCUUAAAAGCAAUUGACAUUGUGAAGGGUAAACAUGGCUUCGGAUUCAUUGUAACCAGUUUGCCCGUUAAUCGCUCAAUGGGAUACUUUUUUUUUACACGAAUUCAUUUUUGAACGUUAGUUUUGAGUCAAAAAAACGAUCAACAGUCAUUUACGAGCUUUGGUUUUGCCAUAAUGCGGGGAGUCCCACAUAUUGGAAAUAUUUAGACACGCUACAAUGCGCAAAGAAAUAAAGGAAAAGUGUUCAAAGAGACAGGUUAUUUCUCUGGAAAAAACAUGGGUCAGCUCAGCCGUUUUCAAUGAGUUGUUUAAAGAUAAUUUUCUGCCAGAUGUUAAGCGCUACUUAAAAAAAAAGGGGCUACCACCUAAAGCGCUUCUAUUGAUUGAUAAUGCGCCUGAACAUCCUCAGCGCUUGCUGGAAAAAUAUAUGGCUAAAUAUUGUCCAGCAAUAGCAUUUAAAACUGCCAUUGGCGUUAGAAGGCUCGGGAAUAAUAGAGAUGGCGAAUUCAAUUGGAGGAGAAGGGUUCGACGAUCUUAUUGAUACGGACCUUCGAGAAGUUAUGGAGGAUACUGCACUUGAUGAUGUGCACUUUAUUGAAAUGCUCGAUGAUACCUCUCCGGAGGAAGGAAGAAGUUGAACCUGUUCAAUUCACUGCAAAGGCAAUUCGUGAAGGUUUAGAUUUGGGCCGCAAAUUUUGAGACCAUUUUUUUAAAACAGAUACAAAUGUGGAGCCGCUAUGGCAUUUAAACGCGAUAUUAGCAGAUGUCUUGCUAGAUUUGAGGAGGUCUAUAAAGACUCAAACAAUAGACAAAGCCAAACACUAAUAACUGAUUUCUUUAUUAAAAAUUAAGUAAAUACCUUAAGCUCUUUUUAUCACAUCAGCUAAUCAAACAGGGAAAUGUUUAUAAAACU